UACGUAGGCAGCGAGCGUUGUUCGGAUUUACUGGGCGUAAAGGGUGCGUAGGCGGUUUUCCAAGUUUGGUGUGAAAUCUCCCGGCUUAACUGGGAGGGUGCGCCGAAAACUAGGAGACUUGAGUACCGGAGAGGUAAGCGGAAUUCCUGGUGUAGCGGUGAAAUGCGUAGAGAUCAGGAGGAACACCUGUGGUGUAGACAGCUUACCGGACGGUCACUGACGCUGAGGCACGAAAGCGCGGGUAGCAAACAGG
rnacentral:rRNA from 1 species